ACUUGUUCCAAGAUAAGCCAUGCACGUCUAAGUACAAACUAAAUGAUGGUGAAACUGCAAAUGGCUCAUUACAACGGUUAUGAUGUACCCGGGAGUUCCGAUGGAUAUUUCCAGUAACACUAGAACUAAUACAUGUCCCUGCGUUUAUUAGUUUCGCACAGUCCGUCGCUGAGUCAUGGUAAACAGUUGAUCGACUCGACGUCCCGGAACAGUUUCCGCCCCAUCAGCUUCGAUGGUUGGGUAUUGGCCUACCAUUGCAACAACGGGUAACGAGGAAUUAGGGUUUGAUUUCGGAGAGGGAGCCUGAGAAACGGCUACCACAUCUACGGAUGGCAGCAGGCGCGCAAAUUACCCAAUGCAGACACUGUGAGGUAGUGACGAGAAAUAAUAAAGCGGGACUUCUGUUUCGCUAUUAUAAUGAGGAAUAACCAAAGGUCAUUCCGAUUAGCAACUGAUGGGAAAGUCUGGUGCCAGCAGCCGCGGUAAUACCAGCGUCAGUA
rnacentral:rRNA from 1 species